GACGAACGCUGGCGGCGUGCUUAACACAUGCAAGUCGAACGGAAAGGCCCUGCUUUUGUGGGGUGCUCGAGUGGCGAACGGGUGAGUAACACGUGAGUAACCUGCCCUUGACUUUGGGAUAACUUCAGGAAACUGGGGCUAAUACCGGAUAGGAGCUCCUGCUGCAUGGUGGUGGUUGGAAAGUUUCGGCGGUUGGGGAUGUACUCGCGGCUUAUCGGCUUGUUGGUGGGGUAGUGGCUUACCAAGGCUUUGACGGGUAUCCGGACUGGGAGGGUGACCGGCAAAAUGGGAAGGGGGAAAGGGCCAAGAGGCAAAGGGGGGGAAGAAGGGGGGAAAAUGGAAAAAAGGGCGGAAGCGGGAGGAAGAAAGGCCGGGUGGGGAAUGAGGGCAUGGGGGUGGAAAAAGGAUUUGGAGUGGGACGAAGGGGGAGUGAGGGAAAUGGGAAAAGAAGAACGGGCAAACAAGGU
rnacentral:rRNA from 1 species